rnacentral:lncRNA from 1 species
CCGUUCCCCCCAGGGGCGGGGGAGGCCCAGCUCCCCUCUACCUGCACACGGUACCGGCUGCGGGUCAGAGACGGACGAGGCAGCAGGACCCUCAUCGUCCCCAAGGGCAGCGGGACCCUCGCCGUCCUCUCCGGGCUGCAGGACUCUCGCUGUCCCCCCGGGCAGUGGGCCCUUCACCAUCCCCAAAGGCAACAGGAGCCUCGCCAUUCUCCCAGGAUGGCAAAACCAUCACCGCCCCCAAGGGCGGCGGGACCCUGACCGUUCCCCCAGGGCAGCAGGACCCUCACUGUGUCCGAGAGUAGUGGGACCCUCACUGUCCCCCCCGGGCAGGGGGUCUCUCGUCACCCCCCAGUGCACAGGACCCUCGCCGCCCGCCAGCCGUCCUUGCGGGGGCUACAGGAGUGAGGCUCAGGGCCGGGGGCCAGAAGAGCAGACCCCCAUCAUGGGGGUCCCGUUAUCCGCAAGGCCGGCCAUCACUCACCCAACUCCGGCUUUGACUGAGAACCGUGACGUCAGAGCCAGAACCGUGACGUCACCCACGGCCCAUUCCGCUGCCUGCGUGGGCCCGGGGCCGAGGAGGGAGAUGGGCAACGGUGCCCGCCCCGUCAUCAGGCACCGUGCGACCCCUCCGCGUGAUGUCAUAUGUUUUUUUAAUUAUGUCACGCUCCUGUUCCGCCCCACCCCGGCCGCAGGCAGCUGCGGGGGGGAGGUGGGUGAUUCAGGCUGCUGCGGCGCCAGAUGUUCGGGAGAAGGUCCAGAUGUUGUCGGGACGCCGCCCCUGCAGAAGCGCAGGGGUGGCAAAAAGCGCGGUGUAACCCGGUGGGCUGGAGGGGUUCUGGGGCCGGCUCUGUACCCCCCGUUCCCCUAGAGCUCCCAAACGUCCCACACGACCCGGGGAGCGGGUGCGAUCCGAAUUACUACCACGCGCGGGUCCCGGCCACCCUCCAGAGCCCCAUUCCUACUCGGUACCGUCCUGCACGGGGGCGUGGGGAGGUCGGGAAGCCCCUUCCCAAUCCCGAACAGCCCCGGCCGCUGUCCGCCAUCCCGGGAUGUCCCGGUGCGCAGCGGGCGAGCCGCUCUCACGGGCCCCCCGGGCGGGUUUGAUGCUCGAAACGGCAGCACGGAGAGUUCGCUGGCGCCACGGCGUGAGGAGCCGGGUGGAACGCAGGGACCCCGCGGCCCUGCCCCAGCCCCGGUACCGCAUCCCCAGCCCUGGCAGCACC